rnacentral:rRNA from 1 species
GACGAACGCUGGCGGCGUGCUUAACACAUGCAAGUCGAACGAAGUGGCGAACGGGUGAGUAACGCGUAAUAAACGUGCCCUUCAGAGGGGGACAACAGUUGGAAACGACUGCUAAUACCGCAUACGGAAGGAGGGGAUUGCGUCGGAUUCGCUAGUUGGAGGGGUAACGGCCCACGAAGGCGAGGAUCAGUAGCCGGUCUGGGAGGAUGAACGGCCACAUUGGGACGGAGACACGGCCCAGACUCCUACGGGAGGCAGCAAGGGGGAAUCUUCCGCAAUGGACGAAAGUCCGACGGAGCAACGCCGCGUGAGGGAUGACGGCCUUCGGGUUGUAAAGCUCUGUUAAUCGGGACGCGGUACCGGAAUAGAAAGCCACGGCUAACUACGUGCCAGCAGCCGCGGUAAUAC